rnacentral:lncRNA from 1 species
CCGCAUCUGGGGCCGCACCGGCUGCUCCUUCGACGGGAGCGGACGCGGGCGGUGCCAGACGGGCGACUGCGGCGGCGUGCUGUCAUGCACGGCGUACGGCAGCCCGCCCAACACCCUGGCGGAGUUCGCGCUCAACCAGUUCAACAACCUCGACUUCUUCGACAUCUCCCUGGUCGACGGCUUCAACGUGCCAAUGGACUUCAGCCCCACGUCAGGCGGCUGCCGCGGCAUCCGGUGCGCGGCGGACAUCAACGGGCAGUGCCCCGGGGCGCUGAAGGCGCCGGGCGGCUGCAACAACCCCUGCACCGUGUUCAAGACGGACCAGUACUGUUGCAACUCCGGCAGCUGCAGCCCGACCGACUACUCCCGGUUCUUCAAGAGAAACUGCCCCGACGCCUACAGCUAUCCCAAGGACGAUCAGACGAGCACCUUCACCUGCCCCGGCGGCACCAACUACAGGGUUGUCUUCUGCCCUUGAGAUCACUGACGCCACUAAUAAGCCGCCCUCGUGCAGGCAACCACGCAUAUAGAUAUAUAUACUAGUCUCCUACAAUACAAAUAAGAUGUCAAGAGUGAUGGAAGGUAUUAGCCUUCUCUUGGGCUAAUACUGUUGACUGAUGUAAUAGAAGUGGUGCAACCAACUAAUAAGAUGCAUAAUAUCAUCACAGCAUGAGUGCUUUUCCAUUGAUGUUUGAAUCAUUUUGUGAGAGCAAUCAGCUUAUGCAAUCAGCAAAAAGAAUAAUUAAACCAUUUCUAUUUAUGUCUUGUUGGCUUAAAACAUGAAUUGAUUUUGAAACAUAAUGAACCC